CGCCGAAAAAAUGAUAAAGGAGGGGUUCGGCAAAACAGGAAACGUGAAAGUCUUCCCAUGAACAUAAAAACAAGAAAGCAGAUGUAAAAGCCUGCCAAGAACAUGCGGAAGUGAAGCCAAAAUGGGCUUAUCUGCACAAGAAUAGAAACAUAUUUGCAAGUCAAAAAUGUGGAAAUAUCCUUUCAUAGCCCUGGAGAGAAUUUGGAUGAAAACACUUGUUGUUUUUAAAUUAAUCUGUUUAUUUUAUACUUGUUUUUCAGUGUUUGAACCUCGUUCUGUUCAGCCAGGUUUUUUGGUAUCUUAUUCCACUUAUUUGGUCUCUACAGCUUUGUUUUCUUUCCAUCUUCCAGUAAAAGUUUGCAGGCAAAAAUCAGCUUGUCAGUGAUCAUCCAUGGAUAGAAAAAGAGGGAGCAGCAGGAGGAGAUAUUAACAUUUAAGUGGACUCCUGCCAUAACAGUCCCAGGGAUUUGUGUCUCCUCUGCACUGUGGAGCUCAAACGAAAGUAUUUGUGCGACGAAAGCACGAGCGGGUCAUUGGCUGUCCUGAGAGAACAGCUCCUCCUUCAGACGAUAGUAACGCCCUUUUUUGGCCAUCAGCUCACUGUGCGUCCCCUCCUCUACGACCUCGCCGUUCUCCAAGAAGAUGAUGUGAUCGGCCUGCUCCACAGUCUUCAGCUGAUGAGCCACGACCAGCACCGUCCGGCCACGAGCAAAAAUCUCCUUCAGCACCUGAACACAGAAAUAUGAGGCCACUUCACAAACACAAUUCUUUUGUGGACCUCUUCCCCUCUUUGGCUGGAGAGCAAACACCAACUGAUACGACUCUGGAGUGAAGGACGCGAGCUGACAAGUUUCCAAACCUGAAGGCGGUGGAUCGGGUGAUGAGCGGGACCAGGGUGAGACUGUCCUGAGUCAUCUGGGGUGAACAUACUCACAUCAGGUGUGGGCCACUGUGUGGAUUAAUGGAUUUGCAACCCCGUGACUUUGUCCCCUUCCAAAACAAAAUAACUUUGAAGGAUCUGCAUUUUGACACAUACUAGAGGUACAAGUUCAGGUGCACUUCAUCAAAGAGAUUAAAAAUCAUGAUGGAAGCGGUCCAGACUCGCCUGAGAGGAACAGGAGACCAGCCAAAUCUAAAUCAGGAGAGGUUUGCUUUUUCUUUUUGUGUUAUUGGCCCACUGCCCAAACUUUCUCAUCGCCAGAUGUGUAAGAGCAGCUGCUUGACUCACACCCACACACAGAGAAAACCCAUUCACGCUUCUUGCAUGCAGGAUUUCCUUGUUUGGUCACCGUGAGGAAAGCUGAGGGUCGUAUGGAAGUUUCUGAGCUUUAUUUUUAUGUACGUACUGAAUGCUGCGCCUCGACAUCCAGUUUACUGGUUGCUUCAUCCAGAAUGAUGACCUGCGGGUCUCGAACCAGAGCUCUGAUCACGGCGAUGCACUGCUUCUGUCCUCCUGCAAGACGACCCCCACCUUCUCCUACAUCUGAGAGGACAAAUAACACAGACCAAGGUUAGAGUGGAAAACAUGCACCUGCUUCAGGUUUUUCCAUCACAACUUUACAGUUAAUCAUUACUGAAACAUAGCUCGUGGUUUACCUGGCUACCAGCUUCCAGCUGGAUAUUUUACAACUGUAAAAUCUGACUUUCCUUACUUCACAUCUGUCAGAAAAAGUUAAUAUUAACUUUCAUAAACCUAUCUGCAGCUCACCAUGAUCUAUUUUAAACAUGUGCCUCUGUACUUGAUUAUUUUGUCAACUGACUUGAGCAUUUUCUCCUUGUUAGAUCACCUCUGUAGCUAUCAUAUAUUUUUAUUUCCUGAUGUAAUGAAAAGAAAAAACACCCACAAGGGGCUUAUAAGAGAAAUAUCUCACUGCAAUAUGCAGUAUGAGUAGAUAGAGAAGUAAUGUAAAGAAAGGCAAUCAAGCAAAAGUAAACAACAUGAAUCAGAAUUUUUCCAUGUUGUAGGUAUGUACUCAUUAAUAACACUCUUCAAAUUUCAGUGAUUAUUUUCACCGCUGUGGGCAAAGUUAAUAUGCAGAAGCGUGCUGGUCUUUCAGGGGUGGGAUUUCGUUUUCCCAAGGGGUCACAUGAUAAACUGGGACUGCUGUGGACCAAUAAGCUGAACUCAGUUCGUCUCAAUGUUAAUUUUAUCUCUUUAAAAGCUACUGUUAUUACUUUUCUGCUCUACUCCACAUUCCUGGAAACUGAGGACAUUUCUCUUCAAAAUAAAAGUUGUGCAUUAAUGACACAUUUCAAAAGGAGCAACAGACAAUUAUGUCAUAUAGAAAAGGCAAGCAACCUGCUCGAGGUUCACAGUGCCAGCGGUUACCAGGGGCUCACUGACAGCUCUUUAGGCUUUUGAUUAGCUUUAGCAACAACUCAGAACUGGUCAGGUAAUGCUCAUUUUUCCACUGUAACCAGUGGUUGGCAGGCAGUUGCCAAGUGGUCUCUAGACCCGUGUGAUUGAGGUGAGGCACAAUACCACAGAUGGCUCUGUACCUGUGUUGUACUCGUUCUCCAUUUCAGAGAUGAAGUCGUGUGCGUUGACAUUAUUUGCAGUUUCUUUCACCUUCUCGAUGCCGCAAUCCUGCAGGCCGUAUUCAAUGUUGUAUCUCAGGGAACCAGAGAACAGCACGGGAUUCUGGGAAACCAGGGUUACCUGGACGAAGAAAGGAUUAAUGUGGUUUCACCAUUUAAACAAUUAAAGCAAAUAAGCUGACGCGUCUCACAAGAACAAAACCUGAGAGUCAAAGUUUUGUUGGGGUACAUGUGGAAACAAGGAGGUUCACUGUCCACGUGCUAUUUUAAGAUCUAGACCUACUAGUAAAUCAAAUACACUUACACCCUCGUCCCCAGAACUGGUCCAGCAGCUCCAGUCAAACAAAAAUCUUCCAGCCUCAAAACUCUGAAGAGUGUUUGAGCUGAAGUCAAGACUAGACACGGCAGCUUUCCAAGCAAGAAAAGCCUUUACAGAAACCCUCUGACGACCUCUUUGUGUCAUUCAUUUGAGGAACCGAGGUCUGUGACUUGAAGCUGAUGUUAGAUUAGACCCACUGUUUUAAACAUUAACUGCAUCUAUAUCUAACAUACGAUUGCAUGUUUGCAUCAAUUAAAGACACAUUAAGUACUGAGAUCAUAUGUACCAGGAGCAUCCCUACAUUAUUUGAUUUAGUACAAUGGUUUAAACCGGCUGAGCCGUCUGUACCUUUUGAUGGAAAUAUUUGUGUUUGUAAAGGUGGAGCGGCUUUCCAUCCAGCAGGAUCUCACCCUCCUGGGGCUCAUACAGCCUCUUCAGGAGGCUGACACAGGUGGUCUUUCCACUGCCGGAGGGACCCACCAACGCCGUCAUCUUCCCUGGCUGCAGCUCCAUCGACACUGACUGGAGAGAAGACGUCAGUGCAGCAUUUAUAAAUCUGUCCACCUCUCACAAAUUAAUGAUUAACACCAUUCCAACAGUGACACUGUAGGACGAACACAACCAUCACUGUAACACUAGGAAACUGUUACCUUCAGGGCAAGUUUCUCUUGAUAUUUGAAGGUGACGUUUUGGAAAACAAUUCUUCCCUGCAGAUUGUCAGGAGCUAAAUCUCCCUCCUCCUUACACUUGGGUGUCCUGUCCAGGUAGCUGAACACUUUGGAAAUCACUCCAACUGUGGCCACCGUUUCACCAUAGCAGUACAAAAUCUCCUGCGACAUAAAUAACCCCUUGAGUAUCAAAAACAGGCACUACAUGUUAAUAAAUAUCCAGAAUGAUUCGGCUUACCUUUAAAUUGACUGACAUGGGCUUCUGAUACAAGAAGAAGGACACAAGACUGCCGAUGCUGAGCUUUCCGGACGAGAUGAGAGUGCGGGCCUGGAACAGCAUCAGUAUCUUUAUCCCCAGAGACACCAGCUAAAUAAAAAGAGUUUGGAGAGGAGGGUUACUUGCGAAGGAGCUAAAAAACAAACAAAGCAGGAUCCAUUAUCAUGUCAGCACAUAUUAAAUACUGGGGAAAUACUAAAAUGCUUUAAGAAACCAGGGUACCGUUUCUUCUUGGUGCUUAAAUAUUAGCACAUAUGCAGUUAGAGCUGAGAAUGAAACAUGUUCCCUUGCUUGUAACAUGACUGUCGCCUUACCCUCCGCACUAGGAGAAAGACUGAACUGUAGAUUCCUGAACGUCUCUUGACUACGCGCAUCUGCUUCAGAGCCUCCUGAUAUCUCCUGAUUUCGUCUUUCUCGGCCUUGAAGCUGCGGACGGUUUGAAUCCCGCUGACCGUCUGGGAAGCCAGGUCUGCAUUCUGAGCUUGGCAGUCCUGAAUCUGCUCUUUCAGCUCCUGUCAGACAACAAAUCAGGAUCAACAAAUAAAGUCUUCAUGACUCCCACUUUUAAUAUCCUUGAUUCUUUCCAGCUGCAAACAAACAUUUUUCUUCCUGUCAUCAAAAAAAGAUAAAGAAAAGUCUGGCUGUUUCUUCUUCCUUUUGCACCUACCUUAUACAAGGUGCUGUAUUUGUUUUGCACUACAGCUAAGAGUGGCAUCUCUAUGCAGGUGAGCACAGUGAGCUCCCAGGACAGGCGUAACAUCACUACCAACAUGAGGAAGGUUUUUACUGUGCUGCGAACCACGGCGUUAGCAUUCAGCGCUACCGUGCGGCCCAUCCUGUCCACGUCAGAGUGCAGGCGGGAGGAAAGACGACCUGGAUGGUGAAACAGAGAAAAGGACAGAGUUCAGUAAGCGCUUAAAUCUGCACAGCUUCAAUGUUUGUUUUAGAUUAUGAGGCUUUUUAGACACUAGUUUGUCGGGCCAAUUGCAUUUUAAGUUGACGCUCCAUUUACCGAGGGUUAAAUCAGCGUUAAUAUUUUCAUUAGGGGAACCUUUGGCAUUGUUGACCCUGCAAAUUCAUGCAGUCCCUAAAUAUCUUAAUAGACAUGUCGUGCUCCUCUCACCGGGGUUGUUAUCAUCAAAGAACUGCACUUCCUGCUUCAGGAGGGUGUGAAACAGCAAAUGCUUCAGCCUCUUGUUCAGUCUGGCCAAGGUGCACAUAAAUAUACCACCUCUCAUGCCAGAGAAGAGCGCGCUGUUAAGAUGGAAAGACAAAAAAAUCAGAGAGAUGCCAAGUAAAUAAAUGUUCUUCCUACAAAUAUCUGAGAGACAAAGAAAUGGUGGGAACAGUUUUGGUUCAUCACCUUCCGAGAGAAAUGAGAACCAGCUCUCCAAGCGCAUAACCGAAGCCAGCUUCAAGUACUUUACCACUCAGCAUAUCAAUGACCUUCCCCUGAUACAACGGGAUAAACGUAUCACCUGUGAGGAAAGAUGAAUGACAGGUACAAAGGUAAACAGGGACAAAGUCAACAAAUUUAUUAAAAACUUAUUUCGAAAGCAGUAUUAAACCGUAGUGAGUAUUUAAGGACAUGUAGUGUGUGGUGGAAAUCACAUUUGUUACUGACUAGGUUACGAGUGCUGAUGAUAGACUGUAUAUAAAAGACAGACUGUGCAUUUUUAAGCCAGACCCCUCUUUGUAGGGGUUUCUUAGCAGAAGUGACAAAUGUUGGAUGAGCAGGUGGAGUCAGUGUACAGGUGCCGGGACAUGCUGCAGGCACGAAAAGUGCUGUCAUGGUGAAAUCAUCUUGCCCAGCCUAUUUUUUUAAAAUGCCAAAACCUGCACGUGGACCUUAUAAAACAUGCUAAUGUUGACAUAACUCGUCUCUCGUAUUGAUUUGCCCUUUUGUGGACAUAAACGAAUGGUUCAAAUCUGUGCUGGUCUUUGGAACAAAUAUUCCAACGUGGCUAAUUCUGCCAUCCCAGCACACAGACUCAGCAGCAGGAAUCGAUGGUUUUACUCUAUCAGUGAACAAUGAUAGGAGAAAAUCUGCUCUCACAGUCUAAUUUUUACUUAUAUACUGUGUUUUAGAGAGGAUUUGUAGACUCAAAGGUCUCUUCUCUUCCAGCUGAUUAGAAAAAAACCUUAAACAGAGUAAAAGAGAAGUUUUGUUUACUUCUCUGAAUGAAGUAACAUGCAGGACCUUCCAGGUCUAACAGGAUUUGGAAUCCAGGAAGAAAAAGACAAAUACAUACAUUCAAGGCCUCCUAACCUAUAAACAAACUUCUGCAGCUUCUGUUUCCACUCUGAUGCACACAGAACAGCAAGUCCGGUCUCUUAGAAAUAUUUUAUGAGGGAGUGCUUGCUAACAAGCUUGCCCUCCACCCUCUGAUCCUAACACGGCUACUUCUGCCUGCAUGUUUCUGAUCCAUAAGUCUUACACUGUAAUAAACACAUGUGCUCUAUCUAACACACUAUAAAAUGGGAAUGUUUUAUACUUACAGAUGACUCCUAAGAUGAGGAAACUGAACGCCGCGAUCAGGUAGAGAGUGUCUGGUUUGAAAUAUUUUAAUGUCCUCAUAAGCAGCCCACUGGUAUCCAGUUUGACGCUGUCCGUUUUUGUUUUUCCAUUCCCACUGAGGCCCUUUUCCCAAAUUAAACAGGCCAGAGAUGAGGCCAUCGGGCCCAAGAGGAGCAUGCUGAGAUUGGGAGAUGGGCCCGAGUAAGGCUCAGAUGGAGAUGCUUUAAGGAAGCGUCCACUUUCAAACACGGGAGGAAGAAGGCAAAGGAGCGCCACCAACCUGUGGAGGACAGGCUGGGGCUUUCCAUCAGUCAACACAGAGGUGAAAACAUGGAGGAAAACCCAUUUUACAGCUCCAAAGGCCCACACGCCUUCCAGUCCACCACAGCUGGAGCAGUCGAGCAGCAGCAGCCCGGUCCACAUCGAUGAACCCAGAACUGCAUCGAAAACAAGGACGAAAAAUCCCGAGGCUGCCACGUCCGUCAUUUUACCCUCGGUUGGCGGUGAAAACGCAGGAGGCUCAAUCGGAUCCUACAACAGAAAGUAUUACAGUCACUCAGAAAAGAUAUGUUAAAAUCUAGAUUUACUUUAUCAGGAAAACAAUUAUAUUUCCCAAACGUGUGUCUUUUUGUAAAAUAUUUAACUAUUAAUCCCAAUCAUCUCAAUGACAGUGGAAACUGCCAGAGGGGGAAAAUCAGGCAAACAGGAGUUAAGGUUCAGAGUUAACUAUUGCAGGAAAAUAGUUAAAUCAGAUUGAAAAGCUUCUACUUCAACCAAAAACCGUUCAUACAGGAAGCAAACGGCCAUUACCUUCAAGGUGAGCGACUAACAAGGAGUGCACAGGAAACCAC